rnacentral:rRNA from 1 species
AUGGAGGAGGUGCCAUCCGAGGAUGAUGAUUUACUUCUAUCAAUUUCUUUUGGCCCCUUGACGCGGGAGGCGCUCUUGUCGUCCCUGGAUUUUCUUUCUACAGACCCUGAAAGCACAGCAAGAUUGGUGUCCUCUCAAGAUGUCCCAUCGUCAAACCCUGAAGCUGGAGGCAUAAUGGUCUCAUCACAGGAACUACCGUCGUCGUCAAACCCUAAUAGUCCAGUGGUUGAACUUAUUAUUUUUCUUCUUUUUCUGAAAGCAGAAAGUGGUAAUGUUGUUAAGAAGUACCAAGACACUGACAAGUUGAUAGUUCCCAGAUGGGUGACGAGCAAGAUCCGUGAUGGAAAUAUUGAUUCCAAUGUGCAAAAUUGGUUCACGAGAUCAGGUGCUGAUGGGUUUGACCAAGUUUGGGAGCUUCUUUUCCCUACCUUUGAUCUGUCGUCAUUUGUGGCUACCAUGAAGCCUAGCGAAGAAUCUGGGCAUUGGUGCUUGAUUGUUCUGAAUUUGAGGUUCUGUCAUUUCAAGUGUCUUGAUUCACUCCGUGAUGAAACCUGGGGUGAUGCAGUUAGAUUCUUAAUGAAUAUGACAUAUAAUAUAAAGAAGCUUUGGAGGGAGUCGAGUGUAGACAGGUCCAAAACGUUCUUCCCGGCAUGGUUGUGGAUUCUUUAUGCUACAAAACUGCAAGACCUAUCAUUGCCGGGAGGAUGGUGCAAUUGA